CGGGGAUCCAGGCUGUCCAGGAGAAGGGCAGCGGGAGCUGAGGGCGGCCGGCUCCCGGGCCGCUGCGGGGAGGCUGAGUGCCACCCCCGCUACUCAGUCCGCGGGGCUGGGAUGAAGCUUUCUGGCAAGGAGUUGUGAGUUGGUGCGUGUCACUCUCCACUGGGCGGCGGGGCUCCUCCUAGAGGAAAAUAUUGGUAGUUGCGGGAGACCUCCCUCCUCUCCACCCACCGGGUUCCCCCAAAGAAGUAUCUAGAAGUCCUCAACUUCUAUACAUUCAAAGAGAGCAGUGCAUCUCCUGCAGGUAUGGGAAGAAGUCCCUUGGAAAGUGUGAUGAGUCUACUAGAUUUUACCGGUCUAGUUGGUUUUCAAGCUCCUGCUCACUGGGAUUCAGCAUAAAGGACAUUCCCAGUCCGAGAGGUUAAAAAAAAAUGAAGACAAAGCAGGCACAGAGUACAAAGGUACAAAAGUCCAGCCCCGGGCCGUCGAGCUGUCUCAUCUGGAGGAACAACGGGUCACGUGGUCUUCUUACUAUUUGCUUUGUACUGACAGCUAGUUAAGAUCUGUGACAAAGAUGAAAUUAUCCUCCUUUAACCAACAGGAAGUCAUGAAGAGACACAAAAACAAACACAGCAACAACAACAACAACAAAAACCAGACUGAUCACAUAAAGGGAAAAAAUUUAGAGUCCGGAUGGGGACUCAGCUUUUUUGUAUCACCUUUAUUUUGGGGACUCUUCCUUCAGUCUCUCAAGGUCUUGGCAUCUAGUAUUGUGUCCACCUCAUUUCAAGCCACCAGCCCACCAGCCUCUAUGUGUGGCAAGAACUAAAAUUGUCCUCUAAUUCCUAGGCACCAAAGUAACUAACAGUAGUGACCAGGGGGGACAGGAGAGAUUCCUCUAUUUUGCCUUUAGUAGUACAGGUCUUGUGCAGGCAACCCACACAGGUACAGACAGAAACUAAUUAUCAUAGUCUCCAUAUUUGUUAAGUUUGAGCUAGUGAGUUGUGGAGAAUGUGUUUCAUCAUCUUGCUUUGAGAAAUAAACAUUCACAAUGAUGUAGAGA
ensembl:lncRNA